rnacentral:rRNA from 1 species
CAGAGGAGCCAAGCGUUGUCCGGAUUGACUGGGCGUAAAGCGCACGCAGGCGGCACCGCGCGUGGGGUGUGAAAUCUGGCCGCUUAACGGCCAGGCGCCAUCCCAUACGGCGGAGCUGGAGCGAUGCAGAGGUCGGUGGAAUUGCCGGUGUAGUGGUGAAAUGCGUAGAGAUCGGCAGGAACACCCAGGGGGAAACCAGCCGACUGGGCAUCUGCUGACGCUGAGGUGCGAGAGCGUGGGGAGCGAACCGGAUUAGAUACCCGGGUAGUCCACGCCGUAAACGAUGGCCACUCGGCCUUUGGCGGCGGAAUCUCCGUCGCUGGGGGCCUUAGCUAACGCGGGAAGUGGCCCGCCUGGGAACUACGAGCGCAAGCUUA